rnacentral:piRNA from 1 species
UCUUUUAGGAAACUGCCCCAUCAUGGUCAA